rnacentral:rRNA from 1 species
AGAGUUUGAUCCUGGCUCAGGAUGAACGCUAAGGCCUAACACAUGCAAGUCGAGGGGUAACCAUGCAAGUCGAACGCGAAAGGUUCUUUCGGGAACUGAGUAGAGUGGCGCACGGGUGAGUAACGCGUAAGUAAUCUACCCUGGUAUCUGGAAUAACUCAUCGAAAGGUGUGCUAAUACCGGAUACGUUGGUUUACCAAGAAAGGAGGCCUCUGCAUAUGCUUCCGUACCAGGAUGAGCUUGCGUACCAUUAGCUAGUUGGUAGGGUAAUGGCCUACCAAGGCGACGAUGGUUAGCGGGUCUGAGAGGAUGAUCCGCCACACUGGAACUGAAACACGGACCAGACUCCUACGGGAGGCAGCAGUGAGGAAUAUUGCGCAAUGGGGGCAACCCUGACGCAGCGACGCCGCGUGGAUGAUGAAGGCCUUCGGGUCGUAAAAUCCUGUCAGAUGGAAAGAAUGGUUUAUGGGUUAAUACCCUGUAGAUUUGACGGUACCAUCAAAGGAAGCACCGGCUAACUCCGUGCCAGCAGCCGCGGUAAUACGGAGGGUGCAAGCGUUGUUCGGAAUUACUGGGCGUAAAGCGCGCGCAGGUGGUUUGCUCAGUCAGAUGUGAAAGCCCACGGCUUAACCGUGGACGUGCAUUUGAUACUGGCAGACUUGAGUACUGGAGGGGGUAGUGGAAUUCCCGGUGUAGAGGUGAAAUUCGUAGAUAUCGGGAGGAAUACCGGUGGCGAAGGCGACUACCUGGCCAGAUACUGACACUGAGGCGCGAAAGCGUGGGGAGCAAACAGGAUUAGAUACCCUGGUAGUCCACGCUGUAAACGAUGUCAACUAGGUGUUGGGACGGUUAAUCGUCUCAUUGCCGCAGCUAACGCAUUAAGUUGACCGCCUGGGGAGUACGGUCGCAAGAUUAAAACUCAAAGGAAUUGACGGGGGCCCGCACAAGCGGUGGAGUAUGUGGUUUAAUUCGACGCAACGCGCAGA